rnacentral:tRNA from 1 species
AUUUAAGUAGUUUAAGAAAAACGUUAAUUUGUGGAGUUAAAGAUAUAACAUUGUUAUUUUAAAUU